GGGCCUGUAGCUCAGUGGUCAGAGCAGGGGACUCAUAAUCCCUGGGUCGAGGGUUCGAUCCCCUCCAGGCCUACCC
rnacentral:tRNA from 1 species